AAGACUAUAGACCUGCGGAGUACCUGCGGAAGGAUCAUUAUCGAGUGUGACCCUCCUGUAAAAAAGGGGGUACCUCCCGUCCUUUUGCUAGGCCCUCCCCCUCCAAAAAUUUUUUUGACAGGGGGAAGCUUUUUCAAACCUUCUGCUUCGGUGGGUUUUAAACCCCGCCGGAACAACCUCAAAAAUUCUUUAUAAUUGUUCUGUCCGAGAAAAAUUUUAUUAAAAUGAAAAAACUUUCAA
rnacentral:misc_RNA from 1 species